GUGCAUCACGGUAGCAAUUGUAUUAAUACCAAAAUUGGAAUGACACAGAUUAGCAUGGUCCCUGCAAGGAAGACAUGAAAACUUGUAAAGGGUACUGCAUUUAA
rnacentral:snRNA from 1 species